UACGAAGGGGGCUAGCGUUGCUCGGAAUCACUGGGCGUAAAGGGUGCGUAGGCGGGUUUUUAAGUCAGGGGUGAAAUCCUGGAGCUCAACUCCAGAACUGCCUUUGAUACUGAAGAUCUUGAGUCCGGGAGAGGUGAGUGGAACUGCGAGUGUAGAGGUGAAAUUCGUAGAUAUUCGCAAGAACACCGGUGGCGAAGGCGCCACUCUGGGCCGAAACUGACGCUGAGGAGCGAAAGCGUGGGUAGCAAACAGGA
rnacentral:rRNA from 1 species